UGUGUGUGUGUGUGUGUGUGUGUGUGUGUAGGAUAGACCACCUACUCAGACCGAUUCCAGCAGUACCAGUCAGGUCCUGGACGACGGCAUAAGAGGGUCGUUAGAUACUAUUGACGGUGCAGGGCGGAGAGAAAAGAAGCUGAACUGCUUCACGCUGUUAUUCAAUGACCUAAAGCUGGAGAAACAGUUUCGUCUCUCAGAGGUCAAAGGUCUACACCAGUCAGUAGGCUGCAUGGCUCUCAUCUUCGUGUUCCUGUUUACUGUCCAAAUGCUCGUCUCCGAGAA